rfam:Candidatus Thrbacteria bacterium RIFCSPLOWO2_02_FTLL_49_11 rifcsplowo2_02_scaffold_22490, whole genome shotgun sequence.
GCCCCUGUAGUUCAACGGAUAGAACGGAAGCCUUCUAAGCUUUAAAUCAAGGUUCGAUUCCUUGCGGGGGCA